UACGAAGGGGGCUAGCGUUGCUCGGAAUCACUGGGCGUAAAGGGUGCGUAGGCGGGUCUUUUAAGUCAGGGGUGAAAUCCUGGAGCUCAACUCCAGAACUGCCUUUGAUACUGGCAAUCUUGAGUCCGGAAGAGGUGAGUGGAACUCCUAGUGUAGAGGUGGAAUUCGUAGAUAUUAGGAAGAACACCAGUGGCGAAGGCGGCUCACUGGUCCGGUACUGACGCUGAGGUGCGAAAGCGUGGGGAG
rnacentral:rRNA from 1 species